UUUAAAGGAUAAGAGACAAUCCAUUGGNUUUAGGCACCAAAAAUC
rnacentral:tRNA from 1 species